AGAGGGUGACCCCCCACACUGGUACUGAGACACGGACCAGACUCCUACGGGAGGCAGCAGUGAGGAAUAUUGGGCAAUGGAGGCAACUCUGACCCAGCCAUGCCGCGUGCAGGAAGAAUGCCCUAUGGGUUGUAAACUGCUUUUAUUUAGGAAUAAACCCUUCUACGUGUAGAGAGCUGAAUGUACUAAACGAAUAAGCACCGGCUAACUCCGUGCCAGCAGCCGCGGUAAUACGGAGGGUGCAAGCGUUAUCCGGAAUCAUUGGGUUUAAAGGGUCCGCAGGCGGACGUAUAAGUCAGUGGUGAAAUCCUGCAGCUUAACUGCAGAACUGCCAUUGAUACUGUACGUCUUGAAUUCGGUCGAAGUGGGCGGAAUGUGUAGUGUAGCGGUGAAAUGCAUAGAUAUUACACAGAACACCGAUAGCGAAGGCAGCUCACUAGGCCUGGAUUGACGCUCAGGGACGAAAGCGUGGGGAUCAA
rnacentral:rRNA from 1 species